GAUUUCGUCCCGUUACUGUACGGACACGGAUUUCAAUCCGUGAUGUACUGUAACCGUUGGAUGGGUAGUUAAUUUGAUCCAACGGUUGGGGUUCAUGUAGGGGUUCAUGUAGGGGUAAUUAGGUAUCAAAAAAUGGCUACCGGUUACUUUUUUUGAAAUUUAAAUUUAUUAAAAAUGGAAAAGUGAAAAGUGACAUCUAUCCAUCAAUCAAGUCUAAUCAACCGUCGUACUCCUCCACUCCUCCACUUCUUCACUUUCAUUUUCUUUCAUUGUUCUAUUUAUCAUUCGUUUUUCCAUUUUCGUCUCUGCUAGGGCAAAGUUCUUCCUCUUCCAUUUUCUUUUCAUUUUCCAUUUUGUUUUUCCAUUUUCUAUUUUCGUUUGAGGUAGUAAAAACCAUAUUGUACAUUGUGGUGACUGUGGUGUACAUUACUCGAAGUGCCAUUGUUGGAGUUGUUAGAGGGGGGUGUCGACGGUGUGGAGGUUGAGGUGGUGAAGGGAGUUUGCAUAUCUUUGUCGAGGUAUUUCUUUGUCUCUCUCUCUCUCUAUCUCUCUGUCUCUGGUUCUGUGUUUAAGGGAGUUUGCAUUUCUUUCUGUGUCUCCCCCCGUGCAUGUGUUGUGGUUCUUAGUGUGGAAUGUACUGUGUGUUAUGAGUUUUUUGUUUUAGUUAUUUAUGAAUAUGUGAUUUGGUAUUUUGAUUGAGUUUGUUGCAAUAAAGAGUUGCAUUGUUUAAAUUGAAUUAGUUGCAUUGUACUAUAAUUUAGGGGUUUUGAUUUGGGUAUUUUGAUGUAUGUAUUUUUGGAAUGUGUUAGUUGAUUCGGUUGGAUUUUAAA